UACAGAGACCUCAAGCGUUAUCCGGAAUCAUUGGGCGUAAAGCGUACCGAUAGGUGGCUUACAAAGUCAGAAGUAAAAUCUCCCAGCUUAACUGGGAGAAUGUCUUUUGAAACUUGUGAGCUAGAGGGGCAAAGAGGAAGCUGGAACGAGCGGUGUAGUAGUGAAAUGCGUUGAUAUCGCUCGGAACACCAAUAGCGUAGGCAGGCUUCUGGGUGCCACCUGACACUGCUAGGACGAAAGCGUGG
rnacentral:rRNA from 1 species